rnacentral:rRNA from 1 species
AAACUUUACAAUGCGGGAAACCGUGAUAAGGGAACCCCGAGUGCCUGUAUAUGCAGGCUGUCCAGGUGUCUAAAAAACACCUGAAGAAAGGGCCGGGCAAGACCGGUGCCAGCCGCCGCGGUAAUACCGGCGGCUCGAGUGGUGGCCACUUUUAUUGGGCUUAAAGCGUUCGUAGCUGGGUUGUUAAGUCUCUUGGGAAAUCUGACGGCUCAACCGUCAGGCGUCCAAGGGAUACUGGCAAUCUUGGAACCGGGAGAGGUGAGGGGUACUUCGGGGGUAGGAGUGAAAUCCUGUAAUCCUCGAGGGACCACCUGUGGCGAAGGCGCCUCACCAGAACGGCUUCGACAGUGAGGGACGAAAGCUGGGGGAGCAAACCGG